rnacentral:sRNA from 1 species
GAGAAGAGGUGCAACAUGAACGAAGUGAAUGUUUUUGAAUGCACCGACCGAAUUGCCACCGAACCAUGUGAGGGGGCGUUACCGAAA